rfam:Hyaloperonospora arabidopsidis Emoy2 Contig648.1, whole genome shotgun sequence.
UGGGAGGAGAUGAAAAGUUACAAAUGCAUAGUUCAACUGAAUGUCUACGACUGCUGUUGAGAUUAUUCCAUUAAAGUCAUUCGCUCCUAUCUGAUCCUCCAC